ensembl:lncRNA
UGUCUCCAAUCCAAGCAGCAGGCAGAAAGACCUCCUAAAAGUUUGAAUAAACAAGUGUAAAUUUACUCUCUCAAUUGUACAUCUCAAUCCCUAAUCCUGCCCCAAAAAAGCCAGUGGAGAAUCGCCUGCCACUCCCAUGCCGUUCCCCACCGGUGCUGGCUCAGCCUGAGUAGGUUUAUAGUAUUCAGAUUGGUGCCUUAUUUGCCAUAUCAAAGGGAUUUGGUGCUGCAACUUCGACCAGGUUUUCACAAAUUGCAACGGGAUUAAAUAAACACAAUCUGGGUUUUUUUGUUGUUCUUUUUUAUUGAAAGCCAGUAGCAAAAAUAAUGGAUGCUGUAAUUCAAAAUAAAGUGAGAACAUAUAUGGAGAGUACAUGACAACGCAUGGUCAAGAGACAUGCUCAAACCAUAUUUGCAGUGGGAAAUACAAAAAAAGAUGUGACAUGUUGGGAUGUGAACAAGCUGAGCAGAGGAGAAGAUAAAUCAACAAAUAAGAGAGAGAUGCUGAUAAGUCAGAGUCUGUGUGCAAACACAGAUGCCUACACACCGC